rnacentral:lncRNA from 1 species
AUAAAUAAAAAAGUUAAUCAGAAUUGAUUUUUUUGCUUUUCUGUUACUAAAUUAAAGUCACAAAAGUAAAAAUAAUAAAAAAAUCUUAUUCUUUUUAAUAACAAAUUUAAAAAAAGAUUGACUUUUUUAACCAUUACCAAACGGAGCCAGAGUUUCGCGAGACUCUUGUUUGCACCUUUUUACUAAGCUUCCUUCUACUAAAAGACUUAAGACCUUCGGCAUUAUCAAUGGUUAAGGAGAAAACAAUCACUUUUUUUUUUCAGUUGGAAAUUAGAGGAAGGAAAAGUCAAUACAUU